CUGCACUGAUGAGCUGAGAUGUGACUGACCUGGUAUUGCCACCCUCCGGGGACGGCUCUGACCAGAGCAUGACUUCAGUUAAUCUUCUCUCUGAGCAG
ensembl:snoRNA